rnacentral:tRNA from 1 species
CUCUGGGUGGCACAGAUGGUUAGUGCACUUGGCUGCAAACUAAAAGUCUAGAGGUUAGAGUCCACUCACAGGCA